UCUCUACUCGUUUUACUGUUGUUUUGAUCUUUUAGGUGGGUAUAGUUACACAAGUGAAUUUAUAUAUUUUAAUUAUUUUUCAAUUCAACUUGGUAUGGACAAUAUCCAGAAUUUGAGUUAUAUGUGAAAUUAAAGUCGUAAUUAUUGUAUGUGCUUCUUAUGUUAAGGAGUUGUGUUCUGUAUGGUACCAAAUGAUUCGUUUGAGUUAUAAAUUAUGGAAUAGUUAAUUUAGCAAGAAUAAGGGAAUUUCCUUCGAAGACAUAAAAAUAGAGUAAUAGAGAAGGAGAGUCAAGUCAACUAAAUGUUUAAAAAUUAAGGAGUGUUUUCAAAAAAGUUACAUUAUUCUUGCAAAAUUUUACAGUAAUAGAUAAAGAGAUUCAAGUCAACUAAUUUUUUAAAAAUUAAGGAGUGUUUUCAAAAUAGUUACAUUAUUCAUGCAAAAUUUGUAGCACAAUAGAACGACGUAACUAGAAUUGAAUUUUGCAAUUGAAUCAAAAUUUUGAGAUGCUUCGUCUUUAUUUGAAGAUUCUAGUGGGCAAAAUUUAAUGUUUGAUCAACUUUAAUAGCAAAAAUUACAACUUCACUUGGUAAUAGUUUAUUGUUCGACAAAUUUCUGCUUGAUCCAUAUGGUAUGCAUUUGUGAAUUUGAUGCAACAAGUUUUCAUAAUGAUUGGCUGGGGUAGAAAAAAUUAUUUUUAAUUCUCCAUAUUUUUCUUUAGAAGUUGAUUGUGAUUUUGAUUAUCAUAUUUAUUAGUUGUUAAUCUCGAUGAUCACUCAUUGGAGUCCAAUAUGGCUUAUAGCUUUACGGUUAAACUCUUCACUUUUGUUCUUCUCUUAAUAUUGAAUUUAUUUCAAAUGACUAAUAAACCUACUUUAUUUUUCUCAAACGAAGCUUCCCCCAUAGCAGAGCAUGUUCUUUUUCUUUUAAUCGUCGAGGCAAGUGUUCAUAGACGAUGACGUCUAUAUGUGUUCUCCUUCAAUACUGACUUUGUGGCAUAAGUAUAGGUAAUGUUUCCAAUUACAGUCUUUUCUAAGGAUAUUACUCCCUAUAAUCUUGUAAUUCCAUUUAUUUUCUUUCAUCAAUAUUGUUUUCCUACCACUUAUUAUAUUUUUUAUUAAAAUUUUGAAUUUUUCUUUUCAUAUAACUCUCAAUAUUGAAGUCCACAGUAAAGGUAUUGAACAAAGUUAGUAUUAUCUAAUACCUAUCAAAAAAUAUUUGAAUGAAUGUAUGACUUAUAGUUAAAGGAGGAUACAGUAGAGAUUUUAAAAUUUUCUUAUAUGUUACAGUAUGUAUUGGCAAGUUUGCACUUCCAGGUUUUAUAGUCCAUAAAAUACUUUAGGUGAGUUCAUCUUAGUUUAAAUUGUGAUAUUUCUAUUUUUAUAAGUUAUUUCGUGUUAUGUUGCUCGGACUCUUCAAUAAUAUUUAUGAAUAUGUAUCGAAUACUUCAAUGAUAGUGUAUUUUUGGGAAUAUGGCAGUAGUGUGGCAAUAUUUUGGGAGAAUCCAAGCAUCAUAGAUUUAUUAAAUGAAUUGUUUGUUCCCUUCACCUAUCUAUUCCUUCUUUAUGUAUAUGUAAAUGGAGACUUUUUGUAUUCUGCCUGAACUAUACCUUGAAGGCAGAAUAUGGGCAAGUUAUUUAUUCCUUUUUAUUUGAUAUCUUAGUGAAAACUAGUGUCUUUCUUUUUAUGUUGAAAGAAAUUAGUGAUAACUAUUUCUAAAUUCUAAUAAAAAAGUGAUAUGAUCCAAUUUACUCAAGUUUAUAAGAGUAAACCCUGAACAUAGUUAGCAUUAUUUGUGCCUAAAUUGAGAGAUUUUUUGUUAUGACUGUGAGAUUGCUAGAUGGCUGGUGCAGUAAUGACAUCUUUCCUUUAGUCAUGAUUUGGAGGGCAUAUUUAUAAGUAUGGUCGACAAAAAUUUUUUUUAUGUAUUUCCCAGCAACUAGGCUAUAAUUUUAAUGAAAACUUCUUCACCUGAUGUAAUAAUAAUAAUGAUAAGAAUAUUCAUUUGGACUUUAUUAUGAGAAAGAAUCUAAAUUCAUUUUAGUUACUUUUGAUAAUUCCUUCAUAACUUCUUCUUUCGCUUUAUUCUGACUUUGUUUGUUCUUUGCUUUGUUCAAAUAAAUUCUUCUCAAGGAACAUAGUUGUUGGAAUACUUAAUAAUGAUGUUAUGUUUAAAUAAACUAUUAUGCUGAAUAUUUGAAGAUAUUAGUAGAUUGUGUAUAAUAUCCUGUCUUAUUUUUUUUAAUAUUCUCGAUAUAAUGCUCUCAAAUUAUGAGUAUAAGGUCAGUAAAACAUUGACUCUAUCUUCUAAUUAAAGUUAUUGAAGAGGCAAAGGAAAAAGUGGUUUCUCCAAGUGUUUGGGUGAAUUUAAUUACUAUCAAAUGCCAUGAAUUUGCAUUUUAUGUUUAAGUAAGUUCUGCAUUCAGUAAAUGCUAGCAUAUAUAUUAUUUUUGUAGGAGCUAAUUGACAAGUUCUAAAAUGUAUUUCAUUUACCUACCUGAGGACUGUGAAAAAGUAUAUAUUGUUGCCGCACAAUGUUUUAUGCUACUGUGUAUUUGAAGAAAAAUAUUAUUGGAGGAUAUGUAAACACGACAUGCUUUGAAGAAGAAGAACAUAUGCAUAUGCAGGUUUUGACGAGUUUUUAUUACAGGACAGGAUAGUGAUUUUGAAGACUUCAUCCAAGUAGAGAAAUAGGUUAUCAUUUACCAGGGCAUUUCUAAUAAUAUAAGAAUAGAUUUUAAGAGGUUGUGUAGAGAGUACCUUGAUAUACGCAUCCCAUUUACAGAGUUACAAAAUUUUCUUUCAUAACAUAUUCUUGUAAUUAACUGCCGAUGUUUAUAUUUGUAUAUACAACAGUGAAUUUAUUGUUAAUUUA